rnacentral:ncRNA from 1 species
AGGCUAGUGAUUAAUUGGUAAUAACAUUGUAAGAUCAUGUAUGGGGGUUGACGCCUGCCCAGCGCCGGAAGGUCAAGGAAGUUGGUGACCUGAUAACAGAGGAGCCGGUGACCGAAAGCCCGGUGAACCGCGGUCGUAACUAUAACAGUCCUAAGGUAGCAAAAUUCCUUGUCGGGUAAGUUCCGACCCACACGAAAGGCAUAACGAUCU